rnacentral:lncRNA from 1 species
UCCACACACGACACGGGUGUAGCUCCAGGAGGGCACCGCCUCUAAUCUUCGCAUGGUGGAAAUCAGUCCUCUCCCCUACUCAGGGCCUGUGGGGGCCUCUUCUGCAGUGGGCUGAGGGGGCCGCUGACGGGUCUGCGUUCAGUCAUCCCGCCAUUCCUGAGCCCUCCAGGGGCUGAGCUGGAGAUGCAGCGGUGAUGCACCAAGUCCUUGCCCACGCUUGUCUUCUACGGGUAGGGCGACAAGGGUGUAUUUGAGCAAAUCAGGCAGCGAUAAGGCCAUGAAGAAAAUGGGGAGAGGAGGUAAUCGAGAAGGCUGCCGUUCCCCCGGGAGGCCUGGGCAGGCCCUGGGCGCCGACGGGAGCAGAGACUGAAGGAGGCGGCUGGCAGGCCCUGAGGACGGGCAGAGGAGCCGUGCGUGCGGAGGCCCCAAGGCCGCGAUGCACAGGCACGUUGGAGAAGCGGCGCAGAGCUUGGUCUUCCGGGGUGGGGUGGGGGGGUGAGCAGGUGUGGAAGGAGGUGACAGCUACAGUCAGAAGCAUUUUGGACCCUGGUUAAAGAUUCUGGGUUUUGUCUGAAGGAUGGAGGGAGCUACUAAAGGGCGCUGAGCUAGGGACUGAAUGACCCAGUUUGAGUCGUAUGAAGUUGCUUUCUGGGUGGAGAAUAGAUGGAGCAGGGAGGUCAGCGUAGAAGCAGGGGCUGUGCCAGCAGGCCGCGGCUUGUCCCAGGGAGGGGUGGCUGUGCCUCGGACCCAGGAUGAGAAAGGUGGUGGAUCUGGGGAUGCGUUGGAGCUGAGUACUUAAACAGCCUCUCUUCUACCCUGAAAUCCUGCUGUCAUCCCAUCCUCUAAACCACCGGGCACCCUGGCGAGCCUGGAAAGGAAGACCAUACACCCCAGACCGCACUGGGACAGAGGAGCAAGGCCCCGGGACCGUUCAGAAGGUCUCAAUCCCCUGGGACCUUCUGAAGCCUCCCCUUCAGGGCUCCCCCAGCAUUACCAUAAAACCAGUGCCAGGGCACUGUCCUCAGCCUCCCCUUUUCACCACAGGCACCAAGACACCAGCCUUGCCAGCUCCCUGAUGCUCUCGCUUGACGUGAGGUUUGGGUGUGGUCUCAGUGCAGGCCAGGUGACCCCUAGGGGCUUGCACUGGGCUUCUGGUCCUAAGUAAGUGCACCUGGCUCUGCCCGUGGAGAAAGGGCAUCAGAGUGCCCACCCCCUGUGUGCUAGGGACUGUCGGUCAUCUCCGUGACCCCGUGGAAGAUGCUUCUCCUGGUUGCUUUCUUGAAGGGGAUUUCAGGGCCCAGCUUCACCUUCCUUAGGUCUGAGAGUCAGCUUUCUCCUAAAAUGGUAAAUCCUUAGUGUUAGAAGCCAAAGGCAUCAGAUAGGCCAGGCCCGAUGGUGGGUCUGGGAACUCAGGGCUCAGGGGGGUUGCUAUGCUGGCUCUUCCCUGCCCCCCAGAGCUGCUUCGGGGAGCACAUGCCUUUUCUGGUCCCUCAUGGCUUCCAAGCCUGUGCUCAAAGUUGUGAAACGGACUGUGCAUCAAGGGCCUUCUCCCUUCUAGUGGGGCGAAGUCUGGAGGAGAGAAGCAUCAAAGCGAAAACCCUCAUGUCCCAUUUGCCCAGGGCAGCAUGAAGCCUGCAGAGGGAGCCUGGCUCUGUGUAUUGCCUUCUGAUCACCUUUAGGCGAGGGGUGGGUCUCUGAAGGGAGAAGGCCACCCACAGUGAUCAGCAGUCAGGUGUGCUGGCCACGGACUCCCUGCAGACACCCUCUCACCCUGCAGUGGUGCCCCGCUCUUUUGAUGGGAUCCAGAUGUGGGCUUUGGAGGGGGCUGCCAAACCCACCCCUGGGCUCCAGCGUGCAUGGAGGGGUGAGGUCUGGAAAGAAAAUGAGAGGGGAGAGGUCGGGGCAGCAGGCAGCCCAGCUGGCUUCCCUUCAUCCAUGGAUGAAUCAUGAGCAGUGGGAGCAGGCCCUUGGGAAAAAGCCGACCUGGGGGGUGAAGGCUUGGGGGGUGAUGAUGCAGGGGAGAGGAGCCCACACGGGCUUACGGAGCCUCUGCACUGUGCGAGCUUCUGCUCUGGCGCGCCGGGCUGUUCCACUCCCUGUGGAGUGCGGCCCGCACAGCGUCGCGCCCCAUCCCUGCAGAUGUGUCCUCGAUGAGGCCUGGGGCUCAGAGGAGGGAAUGGAAGGAAGCUGGCUCCAUCUCUUUGCCUUGGAAAGGGCCCCACAUAUUAUAUCCCAUUCCGAGGCUCAUCCUUUAAAUAUGGAUUUGAUCUGGAUUGUACUGUAUAGUAAAUUCUGAGUCCUUAGUAAAAACAUGGGUGGAAAUUAAUCUGUAAAAUGAGACUUGUCUCUUACAUGUAGUGGCAGAGGCCAGGGGCAGACGGGUGCUCCAGGUCAAUGGUGAGGGGACCUGCCUCUAGCAUCUGGACCAGAAACUCACUGCGAACAACACCCGCUCUUCUGUCCCCCACCCUCCCCUUCCUCUCUGCCCUCCCUGUCACCACCCUGACUGGACGUUCUGACUCCUCCCAAACCAUGGUUCGGUACCUUGGGGUCACUCAGAUAAAGCAGAGGGCACAGCUGGCUGUUCCUUCUCCAGAUGUUUUUUCGGGGUCAGGGAGCACUUUCGCUCUGGAGCAGAGAGAUGAACAAAGUCUCUGGCCCUGACCUCUGGCCCCUCAGAGGGAACUCCUAAAACCCGCAGGGGAAGGGGGAAAGUCCACCCUACGGCUGACUCUUCUGGCCCAAGAAGAAUGGCUCUGGGCUGGACCAGUGGCAUUUUUUCAAGUACAGGGGACAGCAUGUUACCGAGCAGAGGCUGCCAUACUUGUGUUGGCUCAGGCUUGAGUGUGUCAUGGCUGGCAGCUGGCACACUUCCAGCUGUUGUCCCCCCUCCCCCACAACAUUAGAACUGGUCUGUCUACCCGGGCUCCUGCCCUCCAGGAUGGACCCCUGAGCGGCCACAUGCGACUUCCCAUAAAUCAUUCCCGAAUGAGCGUGCUUCCUGCCUCAUCCAUCAUGCCUGUCUCUUGUCUGCUUGUUUUUAAAAGCUGUUAAACUGGAAUCCAUCACAUGGCACCCUCGGGGGGCCAAGCCGCAGCAAAGGCUGCCCGCAUCAGCAAUAUUAAUGCACACAGAGCUUUCUAGAGCAUCGAGGUAAACGUCUCCCCAGUGGUGGGGAGAGGGAGAGCGGGACUUUAUCUAGUUAUACCAGAAGCUAAUGGGAUGUUUCUCUGACACUUGCAGUUAAUACAUUGCCGCCACGCAUGAGGAAGUCCUGGUGGCUGCUGGGUGGACCAGGUAAUGCCCACCUCAACAGUGAGGCUGGGGUUUCUCCCUUCUCACAGAGCAUCUUAUUUGCUUCUCAUGCCUGAUAUUUUAAUUUGAAGACUAGUUUGAGCCAGAUUUUGGAAAGAUGGGUCCUUCUAGAAACACCUGUGUUUGCUCUUCUGUUACCACAUGUAUUCGGAAACGAAGAUUUGGUGCUGAGAGCAGCUUCACUCCCUCCUUCUGAACAUUUACCACCAGUGCAAGUUCUGGGAUGUGUCCAUGAGGAAGGGGAACGAGCCUGAACCCCUCCUGUUAUACUCAUAUUCUCUCUCCCCCUCCUCCUUCUCCUUUCCUCUGAUUGUGUGAGGAAGGCCUGGACCCUGUUUCUCUGUGGCUGGAAUCUUCCAGGCUCUUUAACAUUCACCUAAUUGACUGGUGCCGGAUUUGCCUCCAAGAACCCUCCUGUCUGUCCCAGACAGAUGUCACAAACCUCAGUGGCAGUAGUGAUAUUUUGUCCCAUCUGCUUUUGGCUUCUCUGCUAUCCUUUUCUUUGCCUCAUAUUUGUUGGUUGAAGGAUAAAACUGCUUGUUGGCACUGGUGUGACAUUUAAAAAAAAGAAAUAGGAGAAUGGGCCAGGAUUUUUUGUUGGUGACCUGUGAGCUCGGGAAUGAGCAGCCCAGGAGGCUGGGCUGGUGGCAGAGGGCGCUGUCAGCACCCCCACCCCUCCACACUGGAGCUGUCCAAUUAGAGCCCAUUAGUCACUCAGUGUGUUAAAGCAUUAAGAACAAUUAAGGGUGAGAAGAGUUUCCAGAUGUAGCUUCGGCUCUGGGGUUGGAAGGGGCUGGCUGUUCCCCAGAUGGAAGGAGUCUGAGAAGAGUGGCAGGAAUCAGCGUCCGUCUCAUCAGAGCUCAGGGCUUUGAGAGGGGGAACCCGUGGGGGUGGAGGUGGGGCUCCAGAUUCAGAUGCUCGGUGGGAGGGUCCUGGGGCUGCUGCAACAAAGGAUCACAGAAGCGGGGCUUGAAACAACAGACACUUAUUCUCUCAGCUGUGGGGGCUAGACUCUGCAAUCAGGGUGCCAGCAAGGCCCCGUUCUCUCUCUGGAUUGUGUGGUCGCUGGCAGGCCUUGGCCUUCCUUGGCAGCUGGACAUAUCAUUCUAGAAUCUGCUUCUACCACCACAUGUCUUCUCCCCUCUGUGCCUGUCUGUCCCCUGGUCUUCACACGGCAUGUCACAUGUGUCUGUAUGUGUCCAAGUUUCCCUCGCCUUGUAAAGACGCUGGUUGUGGAGUUCUCGCUGUGGCACAGUGGAUUAAGGAUCCAGCUUUGCUGAAGCUGUGGCAUAGGUAGCAGCCACAGCUCAGAUUCAGUCCCUGGCCCAGGAAUUUCUAUGCGCUGUGGGUGUGGUCAAAAAAAAAAAAAAAAAAAAAAA